UACGAAGGGAGCUAGCGUUGUUCGGAAUCACUGGGCGUAAAGCGCACGUAGGCGGAUUGCUAAGUCAGGGGUGAAAUCCUGGAGCUCAACUCCAGAACUGCCUUUGAUACUGGCGAUCUCGAGUCCGGGAGAGGUGAGUGGAACUGCGAGUGUAGAGGUGAAAUUCGUAGAUAUUCGCAAGAACACCAGUGGCGAAGGCGGCUCACUGGCCCGGUACUGACGCUGAGGUGCGAAAGCGUGGGGAGCAAACAGG
rnacentral:rRNA from 1 species